rnacentral:rRNA from 1 species
GGGCGAGCGUUGUCCGGAUUUAUGGGGCGGAAAGAGCUCGUAGGCGGUUUGGUAAGUUGGAUGUGAAAUCUCCAGGCUCAACUUGGAGGGGUCAUUCGAUACUGCCAUGACUAGAGUCCGGGAGAGGUGAGUGGAAUUCCCAGUGUAGCGGUGAAAUGCGUAGAUAUUGGGAGGAACACCAGUGGCGAAGGCGGCUCACUGGACCGGAACUGACGCUGAGGCGCGAAAGCGUGGGGAGCAAACGGG